CAUGCAAGUAGAACGCUGAAGAGAGGAGCUUGCUCUUCUUGGAAGAGUUGCGAACGGGUGAGUAACGCGUAGGUAACCUGCCUUGUAGCGGGGGAUAACUAUUGGAAACGAUAGCUAAUACCGCAUAACAAUGGGUGACCCAUGUCAUUCAUUUGAAAGGGGCAACUGCUCCACUACAAGAUGGACCUGCGUUGUAUUAGCUAGUAGGUGAGGUAACGGCUCACCUAGGCGACGAUACAUAGCCGACCUGAGAGGGUGAUCGGCCACACUGGGACUGAGACACGGCCCAGACUCCUACGGGAGGCAGCAGUAGGGAAUCUUCGGCAAUGGGGGCAACCCUGACCGAGCAACGCCGCGUGAGUGAAGAAGGUUUUCGGAUCGUAAAGCUCUGUUGUAAGUCAAGAACGAGUGUGAGAGUGGAAAGUUCACACUGUGACGGUAGCUUACCAGAAAGGGACGGCUAACUACGUGCCAGCAGCCGCGGUAAUACGUAGGUCCCGAGCGUUGUCCGGAUUUAUUGGGCGUAAAGCGAGCGCAGGCGGUUUGAUAAGUCUGAAGUUAAAGGCUGUGGCUCAACCAUAGUUCGCUUUGGAAACUGUCAAACUUGAGUGCAGAAGGGGAGAGUGGAAUUCCAUGUGUAGCGGUGAAAUGCGUAGAUAUAUGGAGGAACACCGGUGGCGAAAGCGG
rnacentral:rRNA from 1 species